UGCAUGAAUCAUUACUUCUACUUUGUCUUUGUCUUUGUCUUUGCAUUUUCAUUUCGUUUUAGUUUCAGAUCUAUUCUUUAUUACAUGCAUUUCAGUGGGUUUCUUUAUGAUUUUUUGUUUUCUGUUUUAUAAAUCCUUUGUCUUUGUCAUUUCAUCCCUGUUUUUUGUUUCAGAUAUAUUUAUUCAUCACUCGAAAGAAAGUAAAAUGGCUGGGUACAGGGCAGAGGAUUACUACUUGUCAAUGUGGUGUUGAUCGUUUUUUCGGGGGUAGGCAAGUCUAAUCUUCUCUCAAUGUUCACCAGAACAAGUGGUUAUUGUGUUGCAUUAGAAGAUGUUAAAUAUGUGUUGUUUUCUUUCGCAGUAUAUUUGGCUUUUUUGAUCUCACAGUCAGUUUUCUUUUAAAGUUUCAUAUUUUUAGAAGAUGAUAAAUUUCAUAAGAUUUAUUUAUUUGUUUAUAUUUUGUACAAAAAUUGCAAUGAUCGAUAAUUAGAGAACAAUUAUUUAGAGUUUAUAAUAAAAAGAACAAUUAUUGCAAUGUUCCAAAAUUUCAAUGUUUUAAUUACUUGAAACAGAGAGUAAUACGAUUCAAAUUUUUUAAAUAAGCACUGAAUUUAUUUUCAUUCUUAUUCUGCUCCGAGGAUAUCCCCGUCAUAUCCCAUUCCGGGAUAAGCUAUUCCAAGAUUAUCCCAAUCAUAUCCCGUCCCGGUUCAGUAUUUUUGUGCACGGUUCAGUUGUUUUGGUAUCCAGUUCAGAUUUUGAACGUGUCUGGACUGAGCUACCUGACGUUGUUAUUUCAGUCAGGGAUAUCCCAGCUUGGGGUCUAGAGGUUUGAGGCUUGGGGCCUGGG
rnacentral:lncRNA from 1 species